UAGGCGAUCAUGGGGGCAUCAUGGCCUCUUCUCCCCCCCCGGCCUUCGGAGCUCCAUCUCCUGUAUGUCUGAGGGAGAGAUGGCGGUGUCAGGGAUUUCUGUGUGAUCUUUCAGGAAAAAGCAGAUAGAAAAGCCCAAAAUUUCCAUUAUAUGUAUUGUUUCACUGUUACAAACACAUCACUCCCUGGCAAGAGGAGACUAAAAUACCUUUGCCCUGAAGAUGACAUAUAUUAGUAACAUAGCAAUAUCAAGUUCAGUAGUUGUGUUGCACUCAGUUGUUUUAAG